UCCUGACUGACCGAUAGUGAACCAGUACCGUGAGGGAAAGGCGAAAAGAACCCCGGCGAGGGGAGUGAAAAAGAACCUGAAACCGUGUACGUACAAGCAGUGGGAGCACGCUUAGGCGUGUGACUGCGUACCUUUUGUAUAAUGGGUCAGCGACUUAUAUUCUGUAGCAAGGUUAACCGAAUAGGGGAGCCGAAGGGAAACCGAGUCUUAACUGGGCGUUAAGUUGCAGGGUAUAGACCCGAAACCCGGUGAUCUAGCCAUGGGCAGGUUGAAGGUUGGGUAACACUAACUGGAGGACCGAACCGACUAAUGUUGAAAAAUUAGCGGAUGACUUGUGGCUGGGGGUGAAAGGCCAAUCAAACCGGGAGAUAGCUGGUUCUCCCCGAAAGCUAUUUAGGUAGCGCCUCGUGAAUUCAUCUCCGGGGGUAGAGCACUGUUUCGGCAAGGGGGUCAUCCCGACUUACCAACCCGAUGCAAACUGCGAAUACCGGAGAAUGUUAUCACGGGAGACACACGGCGGGUGCUAACGUCCGUCGUGAAGAGGGAAACAACCCAGACCGCCAGCUAAGGUCCCAAAGUCAUGGUUAAGUGGGAAACGAUGUGGGAAGGCCCAGACAGCCAGGAUGUUGGCUUAGAAGCAGCCAUCAUUUAAAGAAAGCGUAAUAGCUCACUGGUCGAGUCGGCCUGCGCGGAAGAUGUAACGGGGCUAAACCAUGCACCGAAGCUGCGGCAGCGACGCUUAUGCGUUGUUGGGUAGGGGAGCGUUCUGUAAGCCUGCGAAGGUGUGCUGUGAGGCAUGCUGGAGGUAUCAGAAGUGCGAAUGCUGACAUAAGUAACGAUAAAGCGGGUGAAAAGCCCGCUCGCCGGAAGACCAAGGGUUCCUGUCCAACGUUAAUCGGGGCAGGGUGAGUCGACCCCUAAGGCGAGGCCGAAAGGCGUAGUCGAUGGGAAACAGGU
rnacentral:rRNA from 1 species